rnacentral:rRNA from 1 species
UACAGAGGUCCCAAGCGUUGUUCGGAUUCACUGGGCGUAAAGGGUGCGUAGGCGGUCGGGUAAGUCUGAUGUGAAAUCUCACAGCUUAACUGUGAAACUGCAUUGGAUACUAUCCGGCUCGAGGAAUGGAGGGGAGACUGGAAUUCUUGGUGUAGCGGUGAAAUGCGUAGAUAUCAAGAGGAACACCUGAGGUGAAGACGGGUUGCUGGGCUGAUACUGACGCUGAGGCGCGAAAGCUAGGGUAGCAAACGGG